CGACGAAACUUUUUAAAUUCC
rnacentral:piRNA from 1 species